UUGAUCAUGGCUCAGAUUGAACCUUUGGCAGGAUGUUUUACACAUGCAAGUCGAACGGCAGCACGGACUUCGGUCUGGCGGUGACAGACAGGUGAGUAAUGUAUCGGAACGUGCCUAGUAGCGGGGGAUAACUACGCGAAAGCGUAGCUAAUACCGCAUACGCCCUUCGAGAAAGCGGGGGACAUCGGGCCUGCUAUUAGAACUGUAGCCGAUAUCGGAUUAGCUAGUUGGUGGGGUAACGGCUCGCAAGGCGACGAUCCGUAGCUGGUUUGAGGGGAUGACCAGCCACACUGGGACUGAGACACGGCCCAGACUCCUACGGGAGGCAGCAGUGGGGAAUUUUUGGACAAUGGGGAAACCCUGAUCCAGCCAUCCGCGUGUGCGAUGAAGGCCUUCGGGUUGUAAAGCACUUUUGGCAGGAAAAGAAACGGCACGGGAUAAUACCCGUGCAACUGACAGUACCUGCAGAAUAAGCACCGGCUAACUACGUGCCGCUGGCCCGCGACAAUACGUAGGGUGCAAGCGUUAAUCGGAAUUACUGGGCGUAAAGCGUGCGCAGGCGGUUCGGAAAGAAAGAUGUGAAAUCCCAGAGCUUAACUUUGGAACUGCAUUUUAACUACCGAGCUAGAGUGUGUCAGGAGGUGGAAUUCCACGCGUGUGGCAGUGAAAUGCGUAUUAGUGUACGGAGGAACUGCCGAUGGCGAAGCGGCCUCCUGGGAUAACACUGACGCUCAUGCACGAAAGAAAGCGUGGGAGCAAACAGGAUUAGAUACCUGGUAGUCCCACGCCCUAAACGAUGUCAACUAGCUGUUGGGGCCUUCGGGCCUUGGUAGCGCAGCUAACGCGUGAAGUUGACCGCCUGAAGGAUACGGUCGCAAGAUUAAAACUCCAAAGGGAAUUGACGGGGACCCGCACAAGCGGUGGAUGAUGUGGAUUAAUUCGAUGCAACGCGAAAACCUUACCUACCCUUGACAUGUCUGGGAUCCAGAAGAGAUUUGGGAAUUAUCGCAAGAGAACCCGGAACCGGUGCUGUGGCUGUCGUCAGCUCGUGUGGUGAGAUCGUUGGGUUCCCGAGUCACGUGAGCUGGCCGCUGUCGUGGAUUGCUACGAAAGGGCACUCUAAUGAGACUGCCGGUGACAAACCGGAGGAAGGUGGGGAUGACGUCCAAGUCCUCAUGGCCCUUAUGGUGAGGGCUUCGCACGUCAUACAAUGGUCGGGACAGAGGGUCGCCAACCCCGCGAGGGACGUCAGAAACCCGAUCGUAGUCCGGAUCGCAGUCUGCAACUCGACUGCGUGGGGUGAAUCGCUGGUAAUCGCGGAUCAGCAUGUCAUGAUGAAUACGUUCCCGGGUCAUGCAUACACACCGCCCGUCACACCAUGGGAGUGGGUUUACCAGAAAGUAGUUAGCCUAACCGUAAGGAGGGCGAUUACCACGGUAGGAUUCAUGACUGGGGUGAAGUCGUAACAAGGUAG
rnacentral:rRNA from 1 species